rnacentral:siRNA from 1 species
UAGUAUUCGGGUCAUGUGCAA